CCGGAGCUAACGCGUUAAGUAAGCCGCCUGGGGAGUACGGCCGCAAGGUUAAAACUCAAAGAAAUUGACGGGGACCCGCACAAGCGGUGGAUGAUGUGGAUUAAUUCGAUGCAACGCGAAGAACCUUACCUGGUCUUGACAUGUCAGGAAUCCUGCAGAGAUGCGGGAGUGCCUUCGGGAACCUGAACACAGGUGCUGCAUGGCUGUCGUCAGCUCGUGUCGUGAGAUGUUGGGUUAAGUCCCGCAACGAGCGCAACCCUUGUCACUAGUUGCUACGAAAGGGCACUCUAGUGAGACUGCCGGUGACAAACCGGAGGAAGGUGGGGAUGACGUCAAGUCCUCAUGGCCCUUAUGACCAGGGCCUCACACGUCAUACAAUGGUCGGUACAGAGGGUAGCCAACCCGCGAGGGGGAGCCAAUCCCAGAAAGCCGAUCGUAGUCCGGAUUGCAGUCUGCAACUCGACUGCAUGAAGUCGGAAUCGCUAGUAAUCGCAGGUCAGCAUACUGCGGUGAAUACGUUCCCGGGUCUUGUACACACCGCCCGUCACACCAUGGGAGUGGGUUGCUCCAGAAGUAGUUAGCCUAACCGCAAGGAGGGCGAUUACCACGGAGUGUUC
rnacentral:rRNA from 1 species